CGAAGAACCUUACCAAGGCUUGACAUACACCGGAAACGGCCAGAGAUGGUCGCCCCCUUGUGGUCGGUGUACAGGUGGUGCAUGGCUGUCGUCAGCUCGUGUCGUGAGAUGUUGGGUUAAGUCCCGCAACGAGCGCAACCCUUAUCCUGUGUUGCCAGCACGCCCUUCGGGGUGGUGGGGACUCACGGGAGACUGCCGGGGUCAAC
rnacentral:rRNA from 1 species